AGAGUUUGAUCCUGGCUCAGAUUGAACUCUGGCGGCAUGCCUUACACAUGCAAGUCGAACGGCAGCACGGACUUCGGUCUGGUGGCGAGUGGCGAACGGGUGAGUAAUACAUCGGAACGUGCCUAGUAGUGGGGGAUAACUACUCGAAAGAGUAGCUAAUACCGCAUGAGAUCUACGGAUGAAAGCAGGGGAUCGCAAGACCUUGUGCUACUGGAGCGGCCGAUGGCAGAUUAGGUAGUUGGUGGGAUAAAAGCUUACCAAGCCGACGAUCUGUAGCUGGUCUGAGAGGACGAUCAGCCACACUGGGACUGAGACACGGCCCAGACUCCUACGGGAGGCAGCAGUGGGGAAUUUUGGACAAUGGGCGCAAGCCUGAUCCAGCCAUACCGCGUGGGUGAAGAAGGCCUUCGGGUUGUAAAGCCCUUUUGUUGGGAAAGAAAAGCAGUCGGCUAAUACCCGAUUGUUCUGACGGUACCCAAAGAAUAAGCACCGGCUAACUUCGUGCCAGCAGCCGCGGUAAUACGAAGGGUGCAAGCGUUACUCGGAAUUACUGGGCGUAAAGCGUGCGUAGGUGGUUGGUUAAGUCUGUCGUGAAAGCCCUGGGCUCAACCUGGGAACUGCGAUGGAAACUGGUCAACUAGAGUGUGGUAGAGGGUAGCGGAAUUCCUGGUGUAGCAGUGAAAUGCGUAGAUAUCAGGAGGAACACCGGUGGCGAAGGCGGUUCUCUGGGCAUUACCUGACGCUGAGGAGCGAAAGUGUGGGGAGCGAACAGGAUUAGAUACCCUGGUAGUCCACACCGUAAACG
rnacentral:rRNA from 1 species